AUCUAGCUGAUGAGUUCUAAAUAGGAUGAAACGCGCAUCCUGCAU
rnacentral:hammerhead_ribozyme from 1 species